rnacentral:piRNA from 1 species
UGGCAGGAGCCCCCACUUCUGA